rnacentral:rRNA from 1 species
CCCGCCGUCUAUAGAGCGGGGGCCACACCCGAUCCCAUCCCGAACUCGGAAGUUAAGCCUCGCUUCGGCGAUGGUACUGCCGGGCUUACCCGGUGGGAGAGUAGCGCGACGGUGGGU